AGGAACGAGCGACGGACGCCGAGCGCCGGCUGACGGGCGCGGACUGGAGCGUCGGCCUUUCUGCCCGAGUCCAUCCCUGCCGCCGCCUGCUUGGCCUGUCCUGGCCUAUCUGCCCCGCACUGGCCUCACUGAGAGCAUUAAAAGCAGACAAAGGUUUAUGGCUGUGAAUUUGAUCCACUGAAGCUUCCUGCUACACCAGCUACCUAAAGAUCCUGGACCAGGAGAUUAAGAAGCAAAUGACGUCUCCUUCGUGUUACCUGACACAGGAAACCCUAGUGGAGACCCAAAGCUUGCGGUGCCCGGUAUCACUGCCCCACACAUGGCCUUAGUCUACCUGCCCAACCACUCCUGCUGCUCUCUUCAGGAGUCACUGCAUUUCUGAAGAGUUGGAGGUUCCAGAGAGAAUCAGGGCUGAACUCCCCAUCAGGCAACUGCUGAGGGACAAUACCCAGCCUGGCUCUGAGGGCUGGGCAUGCCUGCAGCCAUGAAGAAAAGUCUCUGUUUUUCGAAAAGUGAAUGGAAGUAGCUCCUGUGUUGGUGAAGCUGACAUUGCAGGUGUCGGGGGAAGAACAAACUGUGUUAUUUAAACUUCCAUCUAUUUCUUGAGAAAAACAGAAGCCUACAUUAAACACCGCAAACAAAAAGAGAAACAGGGCUUUCCUAUGGGCGUGGCCCCCAGACCCAAGACAAAAGUGAGCUUGAUCCUCUUUCGCACAAUUAGCAUUGGCACAAAUUUCAAAGGCAUUCCUGUCUUUGGGGCUGAUGCUUGGCUGCUCUCAGCUCGCCUCUGGCAUUUGAAUCCUGCCCUUGUUAAGAGAAGCUAAGGAAGCAGGGACCCAAAGAACCCACCUUUGCCUUCUCUUGUGCAUCUACGUAUGCCCUCUGCUCCUCGCACACACACGAACCCUCUUCUUUCUUUUUCUUUCUUUCUUUCUUUCUUUCUUUCUUUCUUUCUUUCUUUCUUUCUUUCUUUUU